UUUUAGUUUGAUUUUACUAUAUAAAUUUUCCUUCUUGGCGUGUCAGUAAAUAAGAAGGAGCAUUUUUAGUUAGCACAUCAAGCAUUCUUGAAGGCAUAGAGAAUGGAAUUCUAAUGGGGAAAUAAUCCUGUCAUCUUACGUAAAUAUAGUAUUAUGUAAAUAUAAUACCCAGUUCUGUGUAUUCCCUUUAUUCCCAUAGAAGGAAUACUGUAUUUUUAUGUAAUUUUUUGUUUUGUAAUGUGAUUUCUUGUAAUGUUUAAUAUUUCAUCCCUAAAAGGAAAGACUUCCUAGAUGCCAUUUUUGUGAAAAGACAUUGUGUAGUGUAAGAACUGAAAAAUUAGUAAUUUGUCUCUGUAAAUGUCACAGGCUGCAAAACGGGAACUUGAAAGGCAACGACAACUUGAGUGGGAACGGAAUCGAAGGCAAGAACUACUAAAUCAAAGAAACAAAGAACAAGAGGACAUAGUUGUACUGAAAGCAAAGAAAAAGACUUUGGAAUUUGAAUUAGAAGCUCUAAAUGAUAAAAAGCAUCAACUAGAAGGGAAACUUCAAGAUAUCAGAUGUCGAUUGACCACCCAAAGGCAAGAAAUUGAGAGCACAAACAAAUCUAGAGAGUUGAGAAUUGCCG
rnacentral:sRNA from 1 species